AAGAUAGGCUCGCUAGCACCAAAGACUGCUAAUCUUCGCUCCCUUGGUUGAACUCCAAGGCUAACUCA
rnacentral:tRNA from 1 species